rnacentral:lncRNA from 1 species
GCAUCAUGGAUUUUUCUUUGCCGCAAUACCAGUUAGGAGCCAUCGACUCUGUGCUCACAACAAGGGCGUAUGAGUCUUUGUAUGACUUGAACAAGCCCUGGACAACAUCAACGGCCACCAGGCUUGCGCUGCAGCCCAUUCCGGAAAGGUUGAAUGUCUUGAUGUUCUCCCUCAUCUUGUAACGGUUCACUAUUCGAGAUGUUAGGGAGGGUGAAGGGGAGAACAUAGAGACAUUGACUACGAGGAUGUCGAUUUGUGAUGGGGAGACUGAAGGGUACCGGGUGAAAAGAUUGUCAAGUGUGUUGAAGAUGAUUUCAUCCAUCUCAGAGAGUGAAUCUGCUAGGUUUGGCUUUUCUUCUCGGCCUUGGAGGAUGUUCCUUGGGCAAGAAGUUUCCUCACCAAUGCCGGAAUUGACAAUGGUUUUCAAGAGAAACCUGAACUCUUCCAGCCCCAGAUUCUUGUUUCUCAUGACGAUUUUCGCACAUGAGUCGGUUCGGAGCUUCAUGUCCUCUGUGGGUUUGUAGCACUCAUAGGCCAGUAAAUAGCAGGACUGAUGUCUCCUUUGGAGAAAUGACUUUAAAAGGCAGCAAAAACCAUAGAAAAGAGAGACUAGACACAUUGUCAAGAGAAACUCCAUGGUCUAGCUAAGCUCACUGUGUGUGUAAAUGAAGAGUGAGAAGAGAAAAAGAGAGAGACAGAGAGCGAUCGAGAUAUUAGAAUUGUUGUUGAGUGUAAAUUAGUUGCAUGGAGACUGCAACUCCAACAAUUCUGUAUGUCGCUCGCUCUGUACGUAUUCUGCUCCAUAUCUCGUCCUUAUAAAUAGAAAUGCAUUGUCAACUAUUUGUGAGUAUGAAUUAUUGAUGAAGCACGCGUGCUGGUUCAUUUUGACAAAUAAAUUAAAAAUAGUUGGCACUCAUUAAGAUUGUUAAGCAGUGGUUAUAUAUGCAAAGCAUUGAAUAGGUCAAGUUGAGCAUAUAUGCAUGCAUAAAAAUGGGUGGGAUUUCAAAUUAUUGAGAUGAAACAUAUAAUUCAUGUCUAAAAAGAAAAUUGAGAUGAAAAAUUGAAAAUAUGUGUGAUUUUAAACAUACAGUUGUUAUAACGCCCCGGACCUUAAUUGACCCGUUUACCGUCAAUUGGACCGUAAACGACUUCAUUUUUACUUUUACCGUUUUCGAACUAUUUAAGGCUCCAGAAGUUGACUUCCUCUUCCAUUUGAAAUUUGAGAAAACUUCCCAUAUGUAAGUUGUAGAGUGCGUUAAACCGAGUUCGUGGACACGUGGCACGCCGAUAACAGAGUUCGUAUGAAGAAGUUACGGUCUAAAAACCGAAGCUUCUAUAUCGGAAGUGGUAGUAUAAAAGGGGAAACUUACCAAAAGUGGUAAGGUAGAAAAUCAGUUUCACUUUUUCCUUCUCUCUCCUCUCCCUUGCGUCUCUCUCUCUACCGGCGACUUCCUUGCCACCGUCCGGCUGAGUUAGGCGGCAAGGUGGGUAUCGAUUUGAAGCUCUGCUCCUCCUCCAUCAAUCUUGGUAGGCUGCCGUACCUAUCGCUCCGCCAUGAAGGAGAAAUCACGCCGAGGAGGUGCGACUGUGCGUGGUGGAGUUUAACCGGAAACUUCCUCCUCCGGCCACCAUAGUCGAAGAUCCUUAUACCAACUUGAAGCACUCCUUUCGAGUAGCAAACCCUCAAGAGGAUUCAACCUAAUUCGAUCGAGGAUACGAGGAGACCUCACUUGAGUGGCGAUUCGGAUUUCAUCAGGCUUAGGCCUAAAUCUGUGAGUGGACACUUUGUUUGUAAAUGAAUAAGCAUGCAUGGUUUCUUUUAGAAAUUAUCGUUCUAUUUUCCGAGCUUAUAUUAAAAUUUUGGCUUAUAAAAUGAUAUUGGAAUUUAUUUGAGUUUGAUGCAUGGAUUAAUCUUUGUCAUGAUUUAUGGAUUUGAGCUCGGGUUAUAAAAAGUUGGUAUUUGAGUUUUGAUAUUCUUUAUGAUUUCCGGAUUUAAUUAUUAUUGUUUUUAUUUGUUGACUUUGAGAUUUAUAAAAGAUUACCGAAAAUGGGAUUUUCGGUGGUUCUCUAUUUAUAAUUUUCACGGUUAUUUGUGGGUUAUUGAUUUUGACAUUGAAAAUAUUUUAGCGAGUAUUUCAGGUUGAGAAAUUAUUUACGAUUUAUACUUGAUAAUUAAAUCUCACUUAUAAUUAUAGUAUUGAGAAUAUUUUGACGUGUGAGACACGUCAUUGAGUUUUAUUUAUUUUCUUAUGAUAAUUAUCAAGUUCGGUUGGGAACCGUACCAUUCACACGAUCUUGGGGAAGCUUUAUGGAUUUAAGUGUUUUCGUAUGUUUGUAGUCACCAAUCUAUAGGGUCGAUCUUAUUUAUUGCUAGGUAGCCUUUAAUAGUGGUCCUCGCCAUAGGUGAGUUGAGCAGUUAGCGUGAGACGCUACUAUAGCCUGGGAGGCUCUGAUGGGUUUUUAUUCAUUGUUAGUUAGCCAUUAUUAGCGGUCCUCACCAUAGGUGAGUCGAGCGCUUAGCGUGGAACGCUACCCGAGCCUAGGAGGCUCCUCUUACAUGGUGAUAUCUCUUCCCCUUGUUUUAUUUUCUCAGUUAUGUAAUUGAUUAACCAGCGGAGCUAGUUUAUCUCUUCUUAUGAGAUUUCUGUAUUUGAUUAACCAGCAGAGCUGGUUUGUCUCUUUUUACGAGCUUCUGGAAGUUAAGCUAAAUGUUAUAUUAAAGUUGGAUGCAUUAAGGUUUCUAUUUAAAGUUUAAAUGUGGGAAAGUAAAUCACGUUUUUGUUAAAUUAUUUAAUUUAUUUUUGUCCAUUCACUCUAACAUUUUUCAAUUACUUUCCCUUGUGCCCUUCAGUUUCAAAUGCCCAGAUUGUAGGUUAGCUUAGAAGAGGUCGGGCGUACACGGAGUUGAGGCAUAGUCAAUAUUACCGCUUUCGCUUGCUCUUUUAUUUAUGUUUUUCCUUCAUUAUUAGAUUUUCUCUGAUGACCAUUUGAGAUUGUUAUUAGGAUUAAAGUUUUAUGUAUUUUGGGAGAUGUGAUGAACUUGGGGAACAUGAAGGCUCAAGGAGUACAAGGUUGAAAUAUAAUAUAGAAGUGUGUUGUAGCAGGUUGGUUUUGAUUAGGUUGAGUUGUCCAUUUUCAGGUUGGUGUUGUAGCCUUUUAUCAUCCAUUACUAAGAAGACGAUUAGUUAUGUGCAUAUGAGGGACUCUAUUCAUCUCAAUCUUAUAUCUUUUGGGUUGUUUAAUUUGUACUUCAUUUGGUCUAACUGUUCAUUUCGUAUUACAAGCCUAGUUAAUUUGAAUAUUAUUUUCUUUUAUAAUUUUGAACGAAAUUUGUAACUUCAAUUCAAGAAUCAAUUAACGAAGAAUAUUCAUUCCUAUUACACAGCAAAAUUGCGCUCUUUCGUUUUUGUACAUAGAUUCCAUGUAAUAAUAGUUGGCAAGAGACUUGCUACGUACCAGUAAACCUCUUCUACAUACUCCUCUACAUGCAUGCAGCUCCAUCGAUCGGAUCUUUUGCUCUUAGCUGCAACCUGCUCAAAUCUCCAACAUGUGCGCUUAUAUGUUGGCUUACUUUCUGUUCGACUUUCUGUUGUCCUCUAUUGGGCUGGUAUUUGUUCCUUUUCAUCUGAUUAGUAAUAAGUACAAUUUCUGGCCUUGAAAUGCUGCAUGGCUUGGCAUGCAUGGUGCCCCUGUAGUCCUCUAUUGUUAAUCAACCCUAAAUCAUAAAGAGAUUGCUUUUUCUUGAUGAUAAGACUAGCUGGUUCUCCCAGUUUUAUGAUAAAUUAGCUGUACGUGGAGGACGAUUAGUCAGAACAUUGCCUUUAAAAUAGGUAAUCUUUGCUACCAGCGGCUAGUACUUCACAUUCAAACUUGUGUCAUCGAGUAAUGAUAUCAAUGUCAUCGAGUAAUUAUAUCAAACAGAUACACAGCUCAGCUGCACAGACCAUUAUUGAAGUUUAUUACUUUGAAUGGUAACUGUACGUAAGCAGGUAAGGCCAGCAAACAUUGGCUAAGUUUAUAUCUGGAUGGACCAACACAUGGGUGAGAACUUCUCUAUAACUAUUGACAAUUUAAUUAUGUGGAUGAGAGAAUUGCAGUCUGUCAUAUACUCAUAUCUCAGAAGCUGCAUGCAUCUGCAAUUUUAAUUUUCAGCUAACAUUGCAUAUAUCAAAGGGUGCAGAACAGUAGUGUACUGCAAGAUUUAUAAUUGAUGAACUUUCCCAAUGAAGAACCAUUCUUCAUUGGGUUCUCAUGAAAUGAGAAAGUUUCUCAUUCACCACCUUCCCCCACUUUUCUUCUUUUGCCAAAUGCGAUCUGCUGUGAUAUCUUGAAGAGGCCAAAAUGCAUGAUACAUCUGAAAACCUGAGAGAAAUAUAUUAUCAUACUUUACAAUAACUUCCCUUUCUAAUAAUUUCUUUGAUAAUAUUUUGUCAAGUGUUGAGUUAGUACAUCAUAUUAAUUUAUUUCAGAUUUCGUUAGAGAGUAAAGUCUUUGAAACAAAAUUCUGACAGCACUAUAUACUGUCAUGAAUGACUGUCCCUCUAUAUGUGCUGGUUUGGACAGAAGACUCUUCACCACUGAUAUUGAUUCCAGUAGAUCGAUAUUGACAGAACCAAUUAUUUGUAUAGAAAUCCAGUAGACCUUCUGGACCUAGAAUUAAUUACAUAUAGCAGAUCAAAAUGAAGAUAAUAAAAAAAACAUUUGAGUUCAUGUAUCCAUUACAUUAACUUUUAUUAAUUGAUUUGGCAAAACAAUAUACAUAAGCACCUGCUCUAGCAGGAGGGUUUAUGUAUGAGAUACAUACACUAUAUAUUAACUUUUGACAAGAAGAAAAUUCAUAUGAAAAACUUGACACUGCGUACGUACCCUUUACGUGAGCAACUUCAAAAUACAAUUGAUGAUAUUGAUGAAAUAUAUAACCCAAUCCGAAUCAUGAACAACCGAAAGAAAAAUAAUUUAGGGCCUUUAGGUAAUCAUUAACCCAAUACUAUGGAAAACUUAAGCGAAUAUUUUGCUGAAAUCAAUCCUAACAAAGCUGAGGUAAUCAUCAUUGAGCCAACUAAACUUCUCCAUGAAAGGGUUGUCUAUAGUAUGUGGAGGAUAACUAUCUAUGCAGUCUUUCCAAACAUUAGCAUCAUCCAAGUCCCUCAGUACUUCCCAAACAAUAUUGUUGCACUUAAAACCUGCUCCAAAUCCACUCAUAAGAAUCCUAUCACCCUUCUUAAGCCUCUUUUUGGCUUCCAUGUAUCCUAAAGCAUACCAAAACCCAGCAGCUGAUGUGUUACCAAAUCGGAAAAGCGCCAUUCUAGAUGGCUCAAGAUCAUACUCUUCUAAUGCUAAGCUCUUGCCAAUCCCAUCUAUGAUUGCUCUUCCACCAGGGUGGAUACAGAAGUGCUCUAUUCCAGCCUUCAUAUUCAAACCAGCUCCUACUGCUUCUAACUUUUGGCUCUUUUUCCCCCUGUUCUUCCGCAGCCAAGACUCCAGCACGUACCGGAGUAUUUCCCUUAGUGGAAGUACUUUUGGCACCAGGACUUGUAGGUUCAUUGUGAGAGAAAGAGCUGCUGCUUUUGUGAGGUAUUUGGUAAGACGAAAACCUGGGUAACCACUAUCAUCUUCUAGCUGUAUGCAACAAUUGUAAGCAUCAUCACUGGAGCCGAUAUGUGUUCUUACCAGUGUCUUCAAUUUCAAGAUAGCUUGGUGCCUAUGGUAUCUUCUAUUGGUGAACAGCAUCGAACAGCCUCCCGAGCGAAACAAACAGUUGGUGAGCAUCAUGGAUUUUUCUUUGCCGCAAUACCAGUUAGGAGCCAUCGACUCUGUGCUCACAACAAGGGCGUAUGAGUCUUUGUAUGACUUGAACAAGCCCUGGACAACAUCAACGGCCACCAGGCUUGCGCUGCAGCCCAUUCCGGAAAGGUUGAAUGUCUUGAUGUUCUCCCUCAUCUUGUAACGGUUCACUAUUCGAGAUGUUAGGGAGGGUGAAGGGGAGAACAUAGAGACAUUGACUACGAGGAUGUCGAUUUGUGAUGGGGAGACUGAAGGGUACCGGGUGAAAAGAUUGUCAAGUGUGUUGAAGAUGAUUUCAUCCAUCUCAGAGAGUGAAUCUGCUAG